rnacentral:rRNA from 1 species
GACGAACGCUGGCGGCGUGCCUAAUACAUGCCAGUAGAACGCUGAAGAGAGGAGCUUGCUCUUCUUGGAUGAGUUGCGAACGGGUGAGUAACGCGUAGGUAACCUGCCUUGUAGCGGGGGAUAACUAUUGGAAACGAUAGCUAAUACCGCAUAACAAUGGAUGACACAUGUCCUUUAUUUGAAAGGGGCAAUUGCUCCACUACAAGAUGGACCUGCGUUGUAUUAGCUAGUAGGUGAGGUAAUGGCUCACCUAGGCGACGAUACAUAGCCGACCUGAGAGGGUGAUCGGCCACACUGGGACUGAGACACGGCCCAGACUCCUACGGGAGGCAGCAGUAGGGAAUCUUCGGCAAUGGGGGCAACCCUGACCGAGCAACGCCGCGUGAGUGAAGAAGGUUUUCGGAUCGUAAAGCUCUGUUGUAAGUCAAGAACGGGUGUGAGAGUGGAAAGUUCACAAUGUGACGGUAGCUUACCAGAAAGGGACGGCUAACUACGUG